rnacentral:lncRNA from 1 species
GAAAUUUAUACGAAAUUUUUCCCCGAUGUUUUUAGUUGAAUUUUAGAGUAAAUUAAUAAAAUAAAAAUAUAUAAAUUAUGCUGCUUUUAUCUGAAAAGUGUUAAGAGAAGGAAAUACUACAGUGCUUUACAUGAUAUAUUUUGAUUCGCCCCAUGUACAAUAGAAAAAGGAAGACUUGAAGGUAUUUGAUGACGAGAAACAAGGUGAUGGGUCUAUAGUUGAAAGACAAUGUCCUAAAUGAUAUAAUAAUGAAAUGUCUUAUGCUGCAGUCGAACUUAGGUCGGGUGAUAUUGGGCAGACAGUGUUUUAUACUUGUACAAAGUGUUACACAAGAAUUUUUUUAAGUAAUGGAUUGUGAUUGGUCAGCUCAGAAUUGUCAUUUGAUUUUCACGCCUGUGUUGCCAAGAUAUUAACAAAGUCCUGAAACUAAUCUAAAUCAAUAUAUUUGUAGACACAGCUUGGACACAGCAUUAUUAUUACAGCAAAAAAGCAUCACCUUGAUUUACAUGUGUGUUCAAUCUGACAACAUUGACAGUGUAUCAUUUUCCGUUGUACACGCAGCGUGUCCUUGCUCUUAUAAUUUUUCUAAUUUUUGGUAGAAAAAGUUGUUUUUCUGUACACUGUAUGAGUGUAUGUUGUUCCUUAAGGCCCGUUACACCUCCUGAACAUGAGCGUUAUUAAUACACCAUACACAUCCAUAAAUACCACCUAAAACGAGAUACCUAGGUUAUCCCUUAUAUAAUCCGGAUGUUUAGCCAUCAUUCUGAUUUACGAGAUUGGUCUUCUAUUAUAUGAUUGAAA